GCCUUCGUAGUGUAAUGGUCAGUACACUCGGUGCAUAUUCGAGAGGUCCAGGUUCGAAUCCCGGCGAGGGCA
rnacentral:tRNA from 1 species